rnacentral:rRNA from 1 species
ACAGCAGCCGCCGCGGGAAUACGUAGGUGGCAAGCGUUGUCCGGAAUUAUUGGGCGUAAAGCGCGCGCAGGCGGUUUCUUAAGUCUGAUGUGAAAGCCCCCGGCUUAACCGGGGAGGGUCAUUGGAAACUGGGAGACUUAGAGUGCAGAAGAGGAGAGUGGAAUUCCAUGUGUAGCGGUGAAAUGCGUAGAUAUAUGGAGGAACACCAGUGGCGAAGGCGACUCUCUGGUCUGUAACUGACGCUGAGGCGCGAAAGCGUGGGGAGCAAACAGGAUUAGAUACCCCCGUAGUCCCUGUCUCUUAUA